GAGCUUGCUCCACUUGGUUUAGCGGCGGACGGGUGAGUAACACGUGGGCAACCUGCCCUGCAGAUCGGGAUAACUCCGGGAAACCGGUGCUAAUACCGAAUAGUUUGCGGCCUCUCCUGAGGCUGCACGGAAAGACGGUUUCGGCUGUCACUGCAGGAUGGGCCCGCGGCGCAUUAGCUAGUUGGUGGGGUAAUGGCCCACCAAGGCGACGAUGCGUAGCCGACCUGAGAGGGUGAUCGGCCACACUGGGACUGAGACACGGCCCAGACUCCUACGGGAGGCAGCAGUAGGGAAUCUUCCGCAAUGGACGAAAGUCUGACGGAGCAACGCCGCGUGAGUGACGAAGGUUUUCGGAUCGUAAAACUCUGUUGUGAGGGAAGAACACGUGCCAAGUAACUACUGGCAUUUUGACGGUACCUCACCAGAAAGCCACGGCUAACUACGUGCCAGCAGCCGCGGUAAUACGUAGGUGGCAAGCGUUGUCCGGAAUUAUUGGGCGUAAAGCGCGCGCAGGCGGUCCUUUAAGUCUGAUGUGAAAGCCCACGGCUCAACCGUGGAGGGUCAUUGGAAACUGGAGGACUUGAGUGCAGAAGAGGAAAGUGGAAUUCCAUGUGUAGCGGUGAAAUGCGUAGAGAUGUGGAGGAACACCAGUGGCGAAGGCGACUUUCUGGUCUGUAACUGACGCUGAGGCGCGAAAGCGUGGGGGAGCAACAGGAUUAGAUACCCUGGUA
rnacentral:rRNA from 1 species